rnacentral:rRNA from 1 species
UACGGGGGGGGCAAGCGUUGUUCGGAAUUACUGGGCGUAAAGGGCUCGUAGGCGGCCAACUAAGUCAGACGUGAAAUCCCUCGGCUUAACCGGGGAACUGCAUCUGAUACUGGAUGGCUUGAGUUUGGGAGAGGGAUGCGGAAUUCCAGGUGUAGCGGUGAAAUGCGUAGAUAUCUGGAGGAACACCGGUGGCGAAGGCGGCAUCCUGGACCGAGAUUGACGCUGAUGCGCGAAAGCCAGGGGAGCAAACGGG